AACGAACGCUGGCGGCGUGGAUAAGACAUGCAAGUCGAACGGGGUUGUCUGUGUAGCAAUACAUCGACAACCUAGUGGCGAACGGGUGCGUAACACGUGAGCAAUCUGCCGGGAAGUGGGGGAUAGCUCGCCGAAAGGCGAAUUAAUACCGCAUGUGACCAGAGGGGACAUCCCUUCGACGCCAAAGUCGCAAGACGCUUCCUGAUGACCUCGCGGCCUAUCAGCUUGUUGGUGAGGUAAAGGCUCACCAAGGCGACGACGGGUAGCCGGCCUGAGAGGGCGACCGGCCACACUGGGACUGAGACACGGCCCAGACUCCUACGGGAGGCAGCAGUGGGGAAUAUUGGGCAAUGGAGGAAACUCUGACCCAGCGACGCCGCGUGAGGGAUGAAGGCCUUCGGGUUGUAAACCUCUUUCAGCAGGGAAUAAGCGAAAGUGAAGGUACCUGCAGAAGAAGCACCGGCUAACUAUGUGCCAGCAGCCGCAGUAA
rnacentral:rRNA from 1 species